rnacentral:rRNA from 1 species
GACGAACGCUGGCGGCGUGCUUAACACAUGCAAGUCGAACGGAAAGGCCCUGCUUUUGUGGGGUGCUCGAGUGGCGAACGGGUGAUUAACACGUGAGUAACCUGCCCUUGACUUUGGGUUAACUUCAGGAAACUUGGGCUAAUACCGGAUAGGAGCUCCUGCUGCAUGGUGGGUGUUGGAAAGUUUCGGCGGUUGGGGAUGGACUCGCGGCUUAUCAGCUUGUUGGUGGGGUAGUGGCUUACCAAGGCUUUGACGGGUAGCCGGCCUGAGAGGGUGACCGGCCACAUUGGGACUGAGAGACGGCCCAGACUCCUACGGGAGGCAGCAGGGGGGAAUAUUGCACAAUGGGCGGAAGCCUGAGGCAGCAACGCCGCGUGCGGGAUGACGGCCUUCGGGUUGUAAACCGCUUUCGCCUGUGACGAAGCGUGAGUGACGGUAAUGGGUAAAGAAGCACCGGCUAACUACGUG